rnacentral:rRNA from 1 species
CAGCCGCCGCGGUAAUACGAAGGGGGCUAGCGUUGUUCGGAAUUACUGGGCGUAAAGGGCGCGUAGGCGGCCAUUCAAGUUAGAUGUGAAAGCCCUGGGCUCAACCUAGGAAUUGCAUUUGAUACUGUUUGGCUUGAGUUCGGGAGAGGUGAGUGGAAUUCCCAGUGUAGAGGUGAAGUUCGUAGAUAUUGGGAAGAACACCAGUGGCGAAGGCGGCUCACUGGACCGACACUGACGCUGAGGCGCGAAAGCGUGGGGAGCAAACAGGAUUAGAUACCCGCGUAGUCCCUGUCUCUUAUAC